AUUGAACGCUGGCGGCAUGGAUUAGGCAUGCAAGUCGCACGAGAACCCAAUUAGCUUGCUAAGAGGGAGACAGUGGCGAAAGGGAGAGUAACGCGUGGUUACUUGCCCUCGAGACCGGGAUAGCGUCGGGAAACUGGCAGUAAUACCGGAUAACAUCUACGGAUCAAAUGGUGUGAUUCCGCUCGAGGAUAGGACCGCGUACUAUUAGCUUGUUGGUGAGGUAAUGGCUCACCAAGGCUGCGAUGGUUACCGGGUGUGAGAGCAUGGCCCGGCUCACUGGGACUGAGACACUGCCCAGACAUCUACGGAUGGCUGCAGUCGAGAAUCUUCGGCAAUGGACGAAAGUCUGACCGAGCGAUGCCGCGUGCGGGAUGAAGGCCCUCGGGUUGUAAACCGCUGUCAGUUGUUAGGAAAUGCUAGGGGGUUCUCCCCUUAGUUUGACCGAUCUUCAGAGGAAGGACGGGCUAAGUUCGUGCCAGCCGCCGCUGUAAAAC
rnacentral:rRNA from 1 species